GACGAACGCUGGCGGCGUGCUUAACACAUGCAAGUCGAACGGAAAGGCCCUGCUUUUGUGGGGUGCUCGAGUGGCGAACGGGUGAGUAACACGUGAGUAACCUGCCCUUGACUUUGGGAUAACUUCAGGAAACUGGGGCUAAUACCGGAUAGGAGCUCCUGCUGCAUGGUGGGGGUUGGAAAGUUUCGGCGGUUGGGGAUGGACUCGCGGCUUAUCAGCUUGUUGGUGGGGUAGUGGCUUACCAAGGCUUUGACGGGUAGCCGGCCUGAGAGGGUGACCGGCCAAAUGGGGACGGAGAUACGGCCCAGACUCCUACGGGAGGCAGCAGUGGGGAAUAUUGCACAAGGGGCGGAAGCCUGAUGCAGCAACCCCGCGGGCGGGAUGAGGGCUUUCGGGUUGUAACCCCCUUUCGCCUGGGAAGAAGGGGGAGUGAGGGGAAUGGGAAAAGGAGCACCGGCUAACUACGU
rnacentral:rRNA from 1 species